CCCAACCCAGCUGCAGGAAGGAAGAGAGUGCGAGGGAGAGAACGAGAGACAAAGAGAGGGAGAUGGAGGAUGAAAGAGUGAGAAAGGGAGCACGAGAGAGCAGGGCUUCUGCACGGGGCUGCGUUUCCAUCCUUCUCUACUUCCACUGCCCUUCUCGUCUUCUUCUACCUCCUCCUCUUCUCCACCAGUCGUUCGAUUUCUGGUUCGCAGUAGCCGUUGAUGCUGUACUUAUUGAUAUCCUCCGUUAAUGAUAUAAGGGAACAAGCAUCAAGUGCGAUUUCUGGCUGAGAAGUGCUUGAGGGGCCAAAGAUGGCGUGCUAAUUCUCCAAGUCACAUUGACAGUUUGUGAAAACUAUCUUUUGAUGUGGGCGAGGAGGCGUCAGGUGCUUAUUUUUGCAUUCCUUAUAAAGUUCCGAGAAAAGCGAAGCAAUUUGGCUAUGUCAUCUUAAGCUUUCCUGUAUACUGCAGGGCCUAUCCACUGGUGGUAAUUUGAAAAGCAAGGCAACAUCAUUCACAAGGGAGGGGAGAAAACAACUUUUCUCUGUUCUACAAAGUGCAAGAGGUUCAACAGGCAGGGGCGGCGAACGCAGGGGCGGAACGGCGAUGGCAAUGGCGACCGGCGAUGGCAGCGGCGACCGGCGACGACAGACGGUAGGAGGCGACGGUCACGAUUUUGGGUGGGGCUUCUGAACAAAGUGGUGCGGUGGAGGCAUUGGAACCUCCAAUAAGGGAAAGAUGCCAGCUUGGCAUUUGAAUACUGAGUAUACCAAGCUACAUUCACUAAAGCUAGAAAGAUGCCAUUUUUGAGAAAAACUAAUAAGCAUUACCCCGUUGAAAGUACUAAAUGUCAUCAAUUGCCCAGCACUAUGUGAAAUAGCUAGCAUGCCUGCCUUGGAGUCGUUGAAGGUGGAGGAAUGUUGCAGCCUAGAGCAAUUACCUCAUCACAUGCCUGCUCUCAAGUCGUUGAAGGUGUACGGACCUAAUAGCUUGAAGGCUCUUGUUAACUUUCCUUUACUUGAGGAGUUGAUGGUGGAUGGUUUGCUCAACUGGGAAGGGUGGCCAGCAGAUGGAUUAGGGGAAACAACAUUGACUUCUAUGCCAAGGUUAAGAGAGGCAAAUUUUUUGAAUUGUCCAAAGAUGCAGACAGAAGGCUUGCUUGAUGCUCUAUUGGAGCUGGCCGGGCAUGACAGUCAAGUGACUCUGCUCCAAAGUUUGUAAAUUCCUUGAGCAACUGCCUAACCCCAUUGAGUUAAGGUUGGAUCCAGACUCAGCAGUACUACAGCCAUCGCCAUUGCCAUUAGAGGUAUCAACAUUUCUACCCUCCCUCAAGUCUCUGUUUUGAACGACACAAAUGUUGAUGAGGUCUAAUUGGGAAAGGGUACCUCAAUGGUUGUGGGGUCUAUCCCAUCUGGAGACAUUGUACCUAAACUAUUUCUAUGAGGACAUCGGCUUGGAAGGCCACUGGCAAUGCCUCUCAAAAUUGAGAUACCUAGAGCUUCAAUACUUCCCCAAGCUGUAGUCUCUGGUAGACAUUACUACCCACCAAAAUGAAAAUGAUGCAGUAGCAACAACAUGUCCCACGGAUGCAAACGAACAGAUCGCCUGCCUCUCGAAGCUUGAAAAGUUGGUAAUUUACUUUUGUCCAGCACUCCAUCUGCCACAGGAACUCAGAGACCAUCUUGGGGAAAUGUUAUCCAUCCUAGGGGCUAAAGUGGUUGAGGUGCUGUUAUAUCAUGUUACAGAACCUUUUCUGUUUCGUAAGCUGAAGCUUUCAGUAUUUACAUAUGUCCUGCACUUGAUCUGCCGCAGGAGUUAUCUUGGAGGAAAGGUAACAAUUAUCCGAUAUGUUUUAGUGUUUAAAAUCGGUGACAGAUUGUAACUAUAUUUUUUUUUGGUCAAGUAUGAAUCUUUUGCA